CUUGGGGGCUUUUGUGGGAGGUGGGGGAAGCGACAGAGGGCAGCCCCUCAGUCCCUUCCCCCACCUCCCACAAAAGCCCCCAAG
rnacentral:miRNA from 1 species